CCCUUAGAUGUCCUGGGCCGCACGCGCGCUACACUGAACGGAUCAGCGCGUUUUCCCUUCCCGAGAGGGACGGGUAACCUGCUGAACCCCGUUCGUGGUAGGGAUCGGGGCUUGCAAUUAUUCCCCGUGAACCAGGAAUGCCCAGUAAGUGCAAGUCAUAAGCUUGCGUUGAUUACGUCCCUGCCCUUUGUACACACCGCCCGUCGCUACUACCGAUUGAACGUUUUAGUGAGGUACUCGAACUGAGCCUCAGAAGAUUCACGUCUUUUGUGCUGCUCGGGAAGAUUCCCAAACUUGAGCGUUUAGAGGAAGUAAAAGUCGUAACA
rnacentral:rRNA from 1 species